UAUAUACCACAGCAACACCUACCCUCGAAGUCAUAGAUCAGCGAAACGGUCGCUGAGCAAGUUCGCCAACCGUACUUCGUCCCGAGAACACCUGGACGACCCCCUGGUGACUACGUAACCUCUUCGACGGGGAAGCAAAGUCGAGCUGGUGAAGAAGAAGAGGACGUUGGAGCGAAAGGGUGGAGAGGAACGUAUAUUCAGCGACCAUAGGCUAAAGGCCAACAGGUGGUUCGAUCCAGGGAGGACACAGGUAAAAUUCCACCAAUCGAAACUUUUGGGUCUUCAACUGCUUGAGUUGCUUAGAAUUCUCUGAUCUCCUGAUAAUCUCUACUAAGCAGCGUUCAAUCGGAGAAAAAUGGAGCAGAAUUUCAAUUUCACGUUCGAUGUGGACAUACGUUGCUUCUAUCUCACAUAUUGGAUCAUACGAACCAUCAUUGACACAGCAUACUCCAUGAUGCCCAUAAGUAGAAAUAGCUAUGUACCUGUUGGAUUCUUGGAUUGUGUUCUGGUGUGCUCUUUACUUCUCGUCUGCACCAUGAGCAAUCUAAUGAUAUAGAAGCGAACCAGACAUUUCUAACACUGCGAGAACCAGUGUUGAAGGAUCGACGAAUCACGAGCACGUGUCGAAGAUGGUCGAAAAUCUUAUUCAGAAACGAUCUUAUUUACUUUCGAAUAAAGAAUAAAAGAUAAAUUAUUAUGUUUAACACGUUGACCGCCACGUCACCCAUAUAUAUAUAUAUAUCGAAGAAGUAAACAAAUUAAUUCUGAAAGUUAAGCAUGAAAGGAAAUGAAUUUGAAUGAAAUUCAUGAAUUUUGAUGGUUACAAAAAUAAAUACCACGAUAAACAUUUGAUUAUGUAGUUUCCUAUAGUGUAGAUAAUAUUUAAUCCUAGCAGAAAUUGUCAAGAAUAUGUGUCCGGCAGUCAACGUGUUAAUAAGAGAUUAUAUCCAACAUAUUCUAUACAUUUUGUAUGUUUUUCACGUAACCGUAUACUACAAAUGGAUAAAAUUCACAGUCAACAGUAUCCCAGAAUUACUGUAAGAACCGGACAUGGGAGGUAGCUGAGACGAUUCUGAACCACAAUUUCCUUUGGAAAAAUGUCGGAUGGUGCUUCGUUUUUGAAUUAUUAAGGAAAUAUCACCGACCAAUCACAGCGCCCGAGUGGCUGGCUACGUCAGCGCGCUAAUCGAGCUAAUCUGUGAUUGGUCGGUGGUUUUUCGUUAAUAAUUCAAAAAUGAACCAUCAUCCUACAUUCUUGCAAAGGGAAUUGUAUUAGGUUGUCCUAAAAGUUUCUUCCAUUUCAGUAAUAAGUAAUACAUACAUAAUAUUUUAUGUCUAAUGUUACGUUAUUGAAUUGCGUACGAUUCAUUUUGCUUCAUUACUAUUCCAAUAUUAGCAUCUAAGAAAUUAGAUUGUCUAUUUAUAUGAACAGUGCCACACAAAAUAACUGAAUGCAAGUCACGGAAGAAACUUUUAGGACAACCUAAUAGUUCAGAAUCGUCUCAGCUACUCCUCAUUUCCUGUUCUUACUCGAUUUAGGUUUACUGAAUUUCACUGUUUGAUUACAUCUACGAGUACUCUUGCGUUCUUCGAUCCUAUUUCUCGCAUCACUCUGUGUAUUAGUGACAAAGGCGAAGCGCUUGCAAACAGGCCACCUAAACAACUUCGAGUAAUUUUCUAGUCUUGAAUAUUAGUGUCUUCGUACAUAGAAGAGGCAUUGAGUCACGUGCUCGCCAUACACCGCAACAGAAUGGAGCUCUUAACUGACCAAAGAUCAGAAGCCUUCAAUCUCCGAAUAUAUAAUACGUCCAUUAACUAAGAAAAACACACAA